rnacentral:lncRNA from 1 species
AUAUGAAAACUUGUGACUGGUACACAGUAGGUACAUAAAAUUGUGUCUUAACUAGCGGAGAGUCCUCAGAAUUGCCACAAACAGGGAAUGGUGUUGAGGAAAGAAAGAUGAAUUUUUGAAAGCCGAGUAUACCUCCAAACAAGAAAUGUGAUUUUUGCCAUUUUGCUGUUAAGUCUGACAGGUUUCCAGGCUUGUGCUUCUUGGUCCUGCUCAGCCUCAGCCCUCGAUCCUAUUCUGUUCUCUGUGUCAGCCCAGCCAUAGCACUCUUCUGCCUUUUUCUCAUCUUGAUUUCCUUGGAGAGAGAAUGGAGUCGUUGCACACAGGCCAGAACAUUCUUUCUGCCAGAGCUUCCCAUCUGGAAGAAAAGAGAAAAAGAGUUUCAGAGUUUCCAUAAGGUCUGCCUAAAAAAGAGGAGGAAGGAAUAGUGAGCCCUCUGGAGAGAAGAUGAAAGCUACAGGGCUGGAACCCCAAGUUCCAUUGUCUGGAAAGAAUAUCAGAUUCUGCAGGCCUGAAACCCUGACCUGGCAGCUCCUACCUUCCCUUUCCUCCUAACCCUUAGCCAGGAUUUAUUCUGAUCCCCAUUCCUUUAACUUUUCACAUGUAUUUAUCUGUCUUUAUCUGUCUUGCCUAUUCCAUCUCAGACUUUUCCCUCUAUUCUUUGUUCUUUAUGUACUUCCCGGCCGAUUUUGUGCUCUCCCUAUGGGUGACUCUAAAAUACUCCUAGACUACUUCUUAAUGCAUCUCACAAAAAUAAGAUUGAAGCAUUAGAAGGAACUUUCUCACCACCUGUGAUACAUGGAAGGGCUUCAGUGGGUCCAGAGAGCCUCUGAAAUUGAAUGCUGAUUUAAUGCAUAUAUGCAUCUUUCUGGAAGAAGGCCCAGAGCUCCUAUCAAGUUCUCAGAUCUUCCAUUCAGAUCCCUGCCUCUUGACCCUGUAGUUCAGUGUGUUUCAGUUGUAAAGCUGAGAACCCAAGUUAAUUUUGGAAACUAGAAUAAUUCUAUUUUUUAAAAUGAAAAAAAUAGAAAAUAUCAAUGUGUAUCACAUGUAGUAAGGACACUAGUUUUGAUUAACAUGAUUCAAAAUGCAUUUGU